UACGGAGGAUCCGAGCGUUAUCCGGAUUUAUUGGGUUUAAAGGGUGCGUAGGCGGUUUGAUAAGUUAGAGGUGAAAUGUCGGGGCUCAACCCCGAAACUGCCUCUAAUACUGUUGGACUAGAGAAUAGUUGCGGUAGGCGGAAUGUAUGGUGUAGCGGUGAAAUGCUUAGAGAUCAUACAGAACACCGAUUGCGAAGGCAGCUUACCAAACUAUAUCUGACGUUGAGGCUCGAAAGCGUGGGUAGCAAACAGG
rnacentral:rRNA from 1 species